rnacentral:tRNA from 1 species
AAAAGUGAUAGUAUUUCAGUUACGUUGAAAGAGACCUUAUAGGCACUUUUU